rnacentral:lncRNA from 1 species
AUAUAGAUUUCAGCAUAUAAUAAAUAUUCUCACUGAAGGAGAAGCAGCACUGAGCUAUCCAUGGAGUGGCUCAACAUAUUUUAAAACAUAAAGUGAACAAGUGUCAUUCAGAGUUUUCAUUUAAAUUUGCAUUGUUGGAGGGGAUAUUAGAUCCAAGCUCACAUUAACUGUUGAGACUGUAAACAACUUUACUCAAAUAGAACAAAAAAGGGGGGUGGACAGAACUACCUUGCAAACAUUUUUUUCCGUCAUUUAUUUCUUCCCCGUGUUUAUUUUUCCAGUCUCCCUGAAUUGCCAUCAUGUCAUGAAAAAUACUUUGUUUUAAACUUAAUGGAAUGGAUUGUCAUUUUGGUGGAUUUUUGCCAGUGAAGAAUUUAUCAGACUCAAUAGCCUCCAUCACUUGGCAGGACAGAAAGGCCUCGAAAGCCUCUUUCAGUAUCUCUGAGCAUACCUAACAUUUAGAAAGGUAGGCCUGUGUAGCAAGUGUGAAAGUGUUCCUCUCCAUGCCCUUACGGCUUUACUCAACCAUGUUUCCUCUUUUAUCAUUUAUUGGAAAAACCUUUUACUAUCUCUUCUUACUUCCUUUCCUUUGUUAGCUACAAAGGGAAGAUUUUCUUUUGCAAAUCCUUAGUAAUUAAAUGAGCACUUCAGUGGCUGUAGCCCUCAAUGGCCUGUUUCCUAGGUUUUGCCUUUGACAGUCAUAUUUUGCAAAGGCCCCUGAGAUGACUCUGCAUCUUCCCCUACUCAACGCUAAACCAACUGAAGCCCGUGCUCACUGCAUGAAGGAGGAAAAGAUUCAUUAAGGGCACUUCAUUAAGAGGCUGAAAUGGGAAGCUCUAAAUGCGCCUGAACCAACUACAAUCCAGAGAAGCUGUCUAUUAGGAGUGCCACAAAGACAGUUUCGGAAGCUAAACUCCAGCUCCAGUGCAUCGGAUUAGGAAGAGUGAUGGGAUUAGUGUUUAAUGACUUGGGGCAGGAGACAAAGGGAAUUUCGACAAAGAGGCUUAGAUAUGGAAGAAUUAACACUCUGUAUUCCAACCAGGCCUCUGAUGACUUCCAGCAUUCUUUUCAGACUCAAAAGCCAAGGGAAGGGAAUAAAAAAAAAAAAAAGAUGUGCAAAGCUUUAAUACUUUUCUAACUUUUUUUAUUGCAACAACAAUACAGAGGAAAUAAAAGAACCCUAUUCACUCCUUUGGACUUGAAACCUCUUUUAAAAAUAAGCAUCUACAAUUGUAUAAUUAGCCCCAAGGUGAGCUUGCCCAGGGCCUCAAACAUGUGCCAGAAUGCUUCUCUGCUUCCUAAUGCUAGGGCAAGUCACAAACUGAUGUGGACACUAAAGCAAAACCUAUGGUAGCAGAGGCCCAGCUAAGUGGCUGUACAAGAUUUUUUUCUCUCCAUGGCUGUUUAUGUUACAGGUGCAACUGAAGGAACAGAGAAACUGUGUAAUUGUAAAACCUCCUUGUGGCCCCACAUGGCUCAUACUCAAAUGAUUCCAGUGUCUAUGGCCUGAGAAGUGCUUCAUGAAAUGAGGUGAUUAUCUUGACUACAUGAGGGGAUAACUUUGGAAAUGUGCUUAAAGUUCAAAAGUGCUCUUGAAAAGGCAUCAAGUCAACUCAGAGGCAAUGUUGGAGCUUAUCUGUAGCAUUUCCCCCGGCUUGGACAAGAAUACGGCAUCAUUAUCUAAACACAAAGCCAAAUGAACAGUGCCUCAAGUCAGAGAUUGGCAUGGUGAGUCGCCGGGAGGUGGAAAAGAGGCACAGCUUCAUUGAAGCUACAGUUGGCUGCAAGGAACCAUUUCAAAUCAUCUUAGUUCUACGGGGCCAUUCAGGUGGCAAAGGCCCAGGUAACAUUUGAUCAAGUUGCUACAGGGCUUGGACCUACUUUUAUUGCCCCUUACUUUUCCCACUAACAUUUUUGCUUGAAAUAUCGAUGUUUUUUUGGUGCAGCAAAACUCUUUUCCCACAGCUAAAUUGAAGUAGGGCAUAUGUGCUUCCCUCACCUCGCUCCCAGUCCCUCUUGACCCCGAAAUGGUCUAGCAGCCUGUGCUUUGUUAAACUGAAAAUGUGUAGAAAUUUUUAUAGAGAUAUUCAGCUAUAUAAAUAGCUUUGAAAUUUGUCAUAACUUUAAAAACAGGUCAAAAAGGAAAUUGAACAGCUAGUGAGUUUCUGUCUUAGUCCGUUUUGUGCUGCUAUAACAGAAUACCAUAAACUAGGUAAUUUAUAAACAAUAGAAGUUUAUUUGUCUCAAUGGCCAACAAGCAUAUGGAAAAAUGUUCAACAUCACUAAUUAUCAGGGAAAUACAAAUCAAAACCACAGUGCGAUACCACGUAACUUCUGCAAUAAUGGUCAUAAUCAAAAAAUAAUAAUAAAUAAAUAGAUGUUGGCAUGGAUAUGGUGAAAAGGGAACACUUUUACUGGGUUGGUGGGAAUGUAAACUAGCACAACCACUAUAGAAAACAGUAUGGAGACUCCUUAAAGAACUAAAAGUAGACCUACCAUUUGACCUAGCAACCCCACUGCUAUGUAUCUGCUCAGAAGUAAAGAAGUCAUUAUACAAAAAAGACACUUGUUACAUGCAUGUAUAUAGCAGUACAAUUGCCCAAAUGCCCAUCAAUCAAUGAGUGGAUAAAAAAUGUUAUAUACAUACAUAUAUGUGUGUGUAUAUAUACAUAUACAUAUACACACACACACACAUACACACACACACACACACACACACACAUAUACCAUGGAAUACUGCUCAGCCAAAGAAAGGAAUGAAAUAAUGGGAUUUGCAGCAACCUGGAUGGAAUUGGAGGCUAUUAUUCUAAGUGAAGUAACUCAGGAAUAGAUAACCAAACAUACAUGUUCUCACUCAUAUGUGGGAACUAAGCUAUGAGAAUGCAAAGGCAUAAGAAUGAUAUAUUGGAGUUUGGAGACUCAAAGGAAAGAGUGGGGGAGAGGGAGGGAUAAAAGACUACACAUUGGGUACAGUAUACAAUGCUUGAGUGAUGGGUGCAACAAAAUCUCAGAAAUCCCCACUAAUGAGCAUAUUCAUGUAACAAAAUACCAUCUGUUCCCCAAAACUUAUUGAAAUAAAAAAUAAAAAAUUAAUGAUAAUAACAAUAAAAAGAAGUUUAUUUGUCUUAUGUUUCUGGAGGC